ACGUAUAUUAUCAUUCGUUUCAUAGGUUUUAAGUUUUAACAAGCAAUCAGGUAGAUUUUAUUUUGUUCAACGUUAAGUUUAGAGAAUUCCUUGCUCAAACAAUACGUGCGUUUUUCAUCCAGGAAAUAUGGAUUAUUGAGACAGUUACUCCAUCAAAAUCAGGAUGAAGCUGACUGAAUUAUUCUAGAGUGCGUCACAUAACAGAAAAAAGCAGAGAGACUAGAGUUCGAUUUUCCCUCGAUUAGAAUACCGUGACCAGCAUUCCUGGAGAACUGCAAAAGCUUUUGUGUAGCCACAAAGACUGAUUGGAAAUGGGGAAUCGUCAUUCAUCCCAUAAGAGGAAAAAUACCAAAAGAGGAACUUCUUCUCCGCUGAACGACGGCGAAAAUGGGUAUGCAACUAUUUCUUCAGAUGAAAACGAAAAUGUGUAUGGCACUAUAGUAAGCAUAUUCAGGAUAUAAUUAAUAUGCUGAAUAAGAAAGGCACUGUAUGUUUUUGUUGGGUUUAAAGUUACACUGACAAUAAUUAUGGUCAUAAGACGACUUUCAAACAUUUUAUGGUGAAUAGUGGCCUAUGGCGCCCCUCUGGGCAUAAUUUAUCACUAGCGGGCAAGCGGGUAGAACCACCAACCUUCGUGAAAGAUUUUUCUACACCUAACCAAUAGCAGUCACGGGGAACUGAUUCGAAGUUUGACCUUCAGUUACACAUUUUUCAAAUCACUAUAUGCAAGUUAAAAUAUGCAUAUGAGUGAUUAUGUUUAAGAACAACACAAUGAUUUUAAUGUUAAUAAUGUGUAUAGUUAAAGAGUAAUUUUACAGUUUAUGAAGCUGUUAAGGUUACAUAAUCACUAAAAGAGGUAAGAAAACAUUAUUUUAUCCCGGAUCAGUUACUCCAAAUUUAAUGUAAACAUGUUUAUUUCUACAGAUAUGGUGUAGACUGAUUUAAUUCAGGUUCUUUACCAGGUGUAUCCUGAGAAAUAGAAGUAUAAUUGUACAUAUUCAAACAAAAUGCACUUUGAAUGAUGUGA
rnacentral:lncRNA from 1 species